UAAGGAAUAUUGGACAAUGGGCGGAAGCCUGAUCCAGCCAUCCCGCGUGGAGGAAUAAGGCCCUAUGGGUUGUAAACUCCUUUAGCAGGGGAAUAAAACGGUCAUUCAUGAUCAAUUGAAGGUACCCUGAGAAUAAGCACCGGCUAACUCCGUGCCAGCAGCCGCGGUAAUACGGAGGGUGCAAGCGUUAUCCGGAUUUACUGGGUUUAAAGGGUGCGUAGGCGUCCCGAAAAGUUUUCAGCGAAAUCUGUCAGCUUAACUGGCAAACUGUUGAAAAAACUUUCGGGAUUGAAUAUGGUAGAAGUGGGCGGAAUAAAUCAUGUAGCGGUGAAAUGCUUAGAUAUGAUUUAGAACACCGAUUGCGAAGGCAGCUCGCUAUGUCAUGAUUGACGCUGAGGCA
rnacentral:rRNA from 1 species